ensembl:lncRNA
GUGGGAUUCCCGUGUGAAAGGGCAGCGUGGCUCUGGGCCGGGGGGCCGCUGCGGUACGGCGGCUGCUAAAACUCUCCCUGCCCCGUAAGUGCUGCUGAAAAUCCCGCUGGGAGCGUGCUGGCUGCGGGGAGGGCCAAAGCUUUUCAAGCGCUUUCACCUCGAGGUCACCGGUUCAGACUCAGCCUGGGGGCAGGGAGCACGGUAAGUGGAUGUUAUUCCUGAUGGAUGUGCGAGGGGAGGAGGAUUUAGGAGAAAUUGGUCUGGGGCGUUUUCAGGCUGGAGACUUCAGAGGAACAGACGUCCCUGUUGUUAGAGCUAAUUAGCAGCUUCGGUUCGGUGGGCAAAGGGUCGAACAAACCACGAGGCUGCUGGCUGAGCAUCCCCGGCUGCCGGCGGGCUGCGAGCUGCUCCCGGCCGGGCUGCUGGCACUUCCUUGCUCCCCGCGGGAGGCUGACCUGCUUCAAAGCACACAGACAGAGCUUUCAGGCUCUCCAAAUCCCCAGCACCUCCCAGCAGAUGCUGGAUCUCGUGCUCUGCUCCCGCAGCACGCCGGCUUUGCACUCAAGGCAUUUCUCCGGGGGCCCCCUCAGACGGUUCCCCGCCUUGGGUUUGUUUCUGAUCUCCCCGUUCCUUGGGGAACCUUCCCAGAGUUGGGUUCAAACCUAAAAAGAAAAAAGGGUUAAAAAAAGGUUAGAAAUCCCCUUCUGACUCUCCUUGUAGCUGCAGGUUGGAGGAAGCGGCCUCGCUGUGUCCAGACAGGCAGCUCUGCCUCGGAAGCUCCCACCGCAGAGCUGCCAGCCCGCACUGCCCUGGCAGCAGAGGUUGGAGGCACGCGGGCAGCGAGCGACACGGGGUCCCCAAAGUGCUGCAGAUCCGCGAUGAUUGAAGACCUUCUCCUGGCAGACAAACCAACCGCUCCCGAGGAUGUGCACUUGGCGGGACCCCGCUGUCUCACGUCGCCCCCCCCCCGCCACCUGCCUGUCGCUGGAGAGGUGACAAAAUGGCAUCUUUCCUCCCCGGCGAGCACAGCUUUGCUUGAAACAAUGGCACAAGCCUGCAAGCCAGGAAUGCUUUGCAGCGCGGUGGAGCAGGGCCUCCUUCCCAAUUCAUCACUAAUGCAGGAACGCCAAGCCCUUCCUGGCUGCAGCGAGCACGAGAUAAAAGCUAAAAGAGGCAUCAAUAAUUAAAAACCACUCAGAGCCGGUAAGUGCAAACAGGAGCCAACAUACAGAUCGAAGGCAGCGCCAGCGACGGGGGCUGUCAGCUGCUGGGCUGCUCACAGGGAUCCCACACCCCUCUGCGUCCCCCCCCCAGCCCUCAGCCACGUGGUGACAAGGUGCCCAUGGGUCAGGAGAACAAAACGGGUGUGAGUCCGUGCAGGGAAAACCCAAAUCUUCGCUUGGGUGAUCCCAAUUCUGCUCCCACACUGCAUGGCCACAACCCUCCCCCUCUCCCCCCCGGGCUGCUCUGCCCACCGUCCCUGCUGUGGGGGGGAACUCAACGCCCACAUCCCCUGCAGCUCCCCCAGCCCUGCCCCGUGUUACCUUCCCCACAUCCUCUUCCCCAUAUCUGCAGCCCCAUGUUCCCUGCCCUGACGUCCCCUUCCCCUGUGUCUGCUGCCCCGUGUCCCCUUCCCCACAUCCCCUGCCCUAUGUCUCCAGUCCCACAUCACCUGCAGCGUCCUCUUCCCCAUGUCCUCUUCUUCCUGUCCCCUUCCUUAUGUCUGCUGCCCUGUGUCCCACAUCCCCUUCCCCAUGUCCCCUGCAGUGUCCUCUUCCCCACGUCCUCAUCCCUGCCCACGUUCACUUCCCCAUAUCCCCUUCCCUAUGUCUGCUGCUGUCUCCAGUCCCGUGUCCCCUGCCCCAUGUUCCCUUCCCCAUAUCCCCCGCCAGUGUCCUCUUCCCCACGUACCCUUCCCCGUGUCUCCUGUCCUAUAUCUCCAGCCCCCUCCCCCAUGUGUCUUGCCCCAUAUCCUCUUCCCUUUCUCCAGCCCCACAUCUCCUGCCCCAUGUCCCCU